CCAUUAGAAAUCGUUUAAUUUAAUUGAUAUUAAUAAUAUCAAUAUACGCAUGCAGAUUACGGAAGUAUCAAUUAAGCGAAAACAUGAAAUUUUUUCACAGAAUUAUCGUUACGAGAAAUAAGGUCGAAUAGCCGUGAUUUUACAUGCUAUUUUCCCGCUGAAAAAGAAUAGAACGACUGGCUGACAAAAGAAAGAUCAGAUCGUCUAGGCAACCGGCAAACUAAACAAGCAAAUAAUACGUCACACCGUUUAGGCUUCUCGUUCGUCCAUCGACAAAAUUUCAAGUGGUCCGAAAUAGACGUCGAACCACACCAAUGCCGCCGUUUCUCGUUAGAUUGGGCCUGGUCCAUCGUCAGGGGAUCGACGACAAUAUGCAGACUCACGGACAUCGCAUGGAAAUAUCGACUUAACUCCUCAUAAUCAGCUCGUAUCCCGUUAGUGCCGUAGCGUAAUCAAGUUGUUUCGAAAAUAUGUCCUGCCGAUCUUGCUGUAAUCCAUGCUGCUCCCCCCCACCUUGCCCUCCACCCACUAUUUUAUGCAGGCCACCUUGCCCACCCCGUUGCCCACCUCAGCCAACUAAAACAACAGUUUACCUACGGCCUUGUACCCCUUGUCCACCUUGUUGCGCCAUUCCUUGUCCACCAAAGGUUAUCGUUGCGUGUACACCACCACCGCCACCCUGUCCACCGCCCUGUCCAACUGUGGCGUUCGUUUGCACCAAGAAAAUGGUCCCCUGUAUGCCCUGUCCACCGCCUACUCCGCCACCUUGCUCCCCUUGUCGUGCAGUUUGCCUGUCUCAUCCCCCCUGUUAACUGCAGGCAAGAGUUGGAAGGUUUCUUGGGAUCUGACAGCUAGGCGUGUGGGAUCUAACGAGAACGACGAAUAUAUACGUGGAUUUGACUUUUGAUACGAAAAUAGGAAAAUAUCAGGUACAGAGAGAUAUAAUUUUCGAAGAAAAUUUUGCGAGUUAAGAUAAAAAUACAAGAUACAUGGAACUGUUUCAACGUUGAAGAAAUCCUGAUCAGGUAAAACGAAUUAAGACACAGGUUCCUAAUUAUGAUCGAUUUACUGUCUCGGAAGUGGCACAAAACUUACGACGAAGAGACCCCGAUUGGUUGUAAUCUCGGAUUGAACUGCACUCGAGUACGUCUUCCAACAAACUUUUAUUUCCCGAUUGAGGAAUUCGAUGAUCAUCGCAACCGAAUUAAGAAUUACCAAGAAUUAAGUGACUUACCGAUUUAGACGUUACCUUGUUAGGUUAUUCAUUAGAAUGACAAAUUAUUAAAAUAACGAGGAUCAUUCUUGCGAUAGAGAUCGAGAUUUCAUCGAGAAAAAUGUUUAUCUGUUAUUCCCAAUUUUCAGUUUUAGACGAUCUUAAAUCAGCCGCAAUUCGACCCACGCAAGCUAAAAUUACUAUGCACAGGCAUGUAUUUUUUCCCCCCUUAAAAAUAAGUGCGUUUGCAAAGUGAAAGGUCACGGGGAGAAUUUGCUGCAUAUUUUUCAAUACGGUUUGGCAAUAUAUUCAUUUUUCAAUAUCAUCGUUAAACAAACGAACGUGAUUACGAUGUACUUCAGCAUUUGAUAAUGUUGAUCGCAAUAGAAAACAGGUACCAUUCAUUUUUUACUGUGAUUUUUUUUUAUGAAUCAAGUCACGUUGUCAAGGUUUUGGUACGGUUGCGACAACGGGAUGACUGAUUUUAUCGUAUCACGUUUGAGAUAAAAAUUUCGAAGUUAUAUCAUCAUCUAUUGACAUUAUCAGUAGCCGCAAAGAAAAAUACGGGAAGCUAAGAAAUACACAAUUAUGUAAACAACACAUAAUAAAAAAUU